GAGGUAUGCGAUGAUUGCCCUAUGGUCGU
rnacentral:sRNA from 1 species